rnacentral:lncRNA from 1 species
GGUGGGUUUGGUUUUAGGUGGGUCUGGCAAUGGGUGGUUGCUCUGUCUUUUGUUGUUCGUGGGUCUGGAGGUAGCGAGCAAAAAAGGGGAAAAUGGGUUGGGGUUGUUUCUGGUUGAUUGGGGGAAGAGAGAAUAAGGGCCGAUAGUGGUGGUGGACUGAUGGAGCUUUGAGAUCUGGUCGGAGAAGAAGAGAACAGAGCUGGUUUCUGGUUGUGUUGGCGUGGUGGAGUUCGUCGGAAAUGGCGAAAUGAGAUUAGACAGAAGGGGGUCUAGUGGGGAACCUUGUCACCGGAGAACGAAGACAAAAAAUGGGGGUUGAGUUUGCCGGAGUUUGGCCGGAAUCCGGGGUGGUGGUGACCUAAAUAAUGAAAAGUAAAACCCUUUAUGAAUAAGAAUCUGAAAAUCUACAAUCAUAAUCUAAAA